UACGGAGGGUGCGAGCGUUGUCCGGAAUCACUGGGCGUAAAGGGCGCGUAGGUGGCUGGGGAAGUCGGCGGUGAAAGCCCGGAGCUCAACUCCGGGUCGGCCGUCGAGACUCCUCGGCUCGAGCUCACUAGAGGCAGAUGGAAUUCCGGGUGUAGCGGUGGAAUGCGUAGAGAUCCGGAAGAACACCGGUGGCGAAGGCGGUCUGCUGGGGUGAGGCUGACACUGAGGCGCGACAGCGUGGGGAGCAACAGG
rnacentral:rRNA from 1 species